UACAGAGGUCUCAAGCGUUGUUCGGAUUCAUUGGGCGUAAAGGGUGCGUAGGCGGCGCGGUAAGUCGGGUGUGAAAUCUCGGAGCUUAACUCCGAAACUGCAUUCGAUACUGCCGUGCUUGAGGACUGGAGAGGAGACUGGAAUUUACGGUGUAGCGGUGAAAUGCGUAGAUAUCGUAAGGAAGACCAGUGGCGAAGGCGGGGUCUCUGGACAGUUCCUGACGCUGAGGCACGAAGGCCAGGGAGCAAACGGG
rnacentral:rRNA from 1 species